GUUUGUUUCUAUCAUAAGUACCUUUAUCUAAAGAGUCAAACUGUUUAUGAAAACCAUCCCUUUCAUGUGAGAUGGCUAAGAUCUAGAAAUAUUGUUUCUGUAAAAGCAGCAUCAAAGGUAGCCGCGUGGGGAAAGGAAGGAAGCCAAUUUCACAUGUGAUAGACAUUGCUCUUGAAAUGAGCCUGCCUUUGAAAUAUGUUUUGGAAAGUUACCUCAAAUUCGGUAAAGAUUUAGUAAAAUACCUGAAAAGAUGGUAUUUGAUAGAUGAAUUGUGUUUCUGAUAUGGAUUGCUUUUUUUUAAAUUGCUAUCUCUUUCCCCACAUUGGUGCCAGUAGUGAUAAGAGAGAUGAAGGGGUAAAAUUUGUUUCAAAACCCGUGUGUAAAGUUACGGUGCCACAGAGGAGCAACCUGAGCAGUUCAGUGGAAUGUGAUUCAGCAUCUACCUAACCCGGUGUUGGUCACCACCUUUAUGAUUCUCAUCUGAGUAAUAAUACUGGUGUACUGGAAAGCAAAUUGGGUACGUCCACUCAACAAUAAUGAAGACCAUGAUGUUUAUAGAGUCUUUUACCAAUGUUAAUGCUGCGACAUUAUCAGAAGCGACGUAAAAUUUGUAGUCAUCCUAAGAGCUUAUUCCCUCAUUCUACUCAUUUAAUGGUGUGAUUUAAUUAUCUACAUAUGUAGAACAACUCUGAAAUUGAGCAAAAAUGGUUGAUUCCUUAGACUGGAAUGGGAAAAAUAAAAAUGAAAGCUGAAGGAAGGAAUUCCAGGACUGUGAGUUCAUAAUCUCUAGCCUCUCAGAUUAAGUUCUCCUUUUUAUUUAGUUAAUUUUUAGGAAGAAGGAAGAAACUGUGGUAAUAAUGAGUUAUAUUUGAACAUUUCUAAUUAUUAAGCGCUGAUAUCCAAGAUACCUGGCUCACUUGGCUUUUGAAAUUACUUCCAAAUUAAUGUCACUUCACAACCAGUGCCCUUCUCUAAUUCCCUGAGGGGACAGUGGCAACCUGUAAGGUAGAACUGGAUGAUCACUGGAUUAGCACAGAAAGAGGAUCUGCUUGGCAAGGAAAGAGACUUCUAGAGCUCGGGCUUGUGGAAUGGUUUGCUAUUUACAAGAGAUGUUAACUUCUUUCCCCCCUUCUUAUCUGUAAAAUAUCAAUUAACGUAAAACAUUCAAUUGUGGACUAAAGGAAGAUAAGUCCUAACUGACAAAAAUGCCCUUACCACACUGUUCAGAAAGCCAACAACAGCUCUGUUCUAUAUUUUUACAUCUCCAUUCUCUUCCUGUGUGAUAUCUGCACAGUGUUCGAUUUUGUCUUUUGUAAAAAUUGUACUAGGCUUAGUGUGUGGUAGUACAGGCUUGAAGUUUUUGCUCUGAGUUCAUCAGGUGCUUUUGUAAUUUUGUGGUCGGUAAGUAAUAUUUUGCAGCAUCUUUUUAUUUUCAUCUAGAAACAAGAGUAGAAUACUAUUUAUUGUAAAGUACAUGGGAAC
rnacentral:lncRNA from 1 species